AACGCAGUGACAGGUGCUGCAUGGCUGUCGUCAGCUCGUGUCGUGAGAUGUUGGGUUAAGUCCCGCAACGAGCGCAACCCUUAUCUUUAGUUGCUACCAUUUAGUUGAGAACUCUAAAGAGACUGCCGGUGAUAAACCGGAGGAAGGCGGGGACGACGUCAAGUCAUCAUGGCCCUUAUGGGAUGGGCUACACACGUGCUACAAUGGGGGGUACAAAGAGCAGCUAGCUGGCGACAGUGCGCGAAUCUCAUAAAACCCUUCGUAGUCCGGAUUGGAGUCUGCAACUCGACUCCAUGAAGUCGGAAUCGCUAGUAAUCGUGAAUCAGAAUGUCACGGUGAAUACGUUCCCGGGCCUUGUACACACCGCCCGUCACACCAUGGGAGUGGGUUGCAAAAGAAGUAGGUAGUCUAACCUUCGGGAGGGCGCUUACCACUUUGUGAUUCAUGACUGGGGUGAAGUCGUAACAAGGUAGCCGUAGGGGAACCUGCGGCUGGAUCACCUCCUUUAA
rnacentral:rRNA from 1 species